rnacentral:rRNA from 1 species
ACGCUCGACACCUACGGGNGGCAGCAGUGGGGAAUAUUGCACAAUGGGGGAAACCCUGAUGCAGCGACGCCGCGUGGAGGAAGAAGGUCUUCGGAUUGUAAACUCCUGUUGUUGGGGAAAAGAGGAUGGUACCCAACAAGGAAGUGACGGCUAACUACGUGCCACAGCCGCGGUAAUCUGAGCGGGCUGGCAAGGC